rnacentral:lncRNA from 1 species
GUUGUCAGUGGCCGAGAGACCGCAUCGUCGGCUCGGAGGCUGAGGGGCUGCCGCAGCCGGGAGCCCCCCUCGCCUCGCUCCUCGCUCCGCUUGGUGUCAUGUGAUUCUCUGAGGGAGCAGCUGCGUGAGUGGAGAUGCUUUCAGUGGUGGAGAAUGGACUGGACCCCCAGGCUGCCAUCCCGGUCAUCAAGAAGAAGCUGGUGGGAUCCGUGAAAGCCUUGCAAAAGCAGUACGUGUCCCUGGACAUGGUGGUCACUAGUGAAGACGGAGAUGCCAACACCAUGUGCAGCGCCCUGGAGGCCGUAUUUAUCCAUGGCCUGCACACCAAGCACAUCCGAGCUGAGGCCGGAGGAAAAAGGAAGAAAAGUGCCCACCAGAAGCCUCUGCCCCAGCCUGUCUUCUGGCCCCUCCUGAAAGCUGUCACCCCCAAACACAUCAUCUCAGAGUUGGAGCACCUGACGUUUGUCAACAUGGAUGUGGGCCGCUGCCGGGCAUGGCUGCGGCUGGCCCUGAACAAUGGCCUGAUGGAGUGCUACCUGAAGCUGCUGCUGCAGGAGCAGGCCCGCUUGCAACUACAGCGGAAGGAAUCUCUGGAUUCCAUUUCCCAUUCUUCAGGCUCUGAAGACAUCGAAGUCCAUCACUCGGGCCAUAAGAUACGGAGGAACCAGAAGCCGACUGCCUCCUCCCUCAGCCUGGACACGGCCAGUUCAUCCCAGCUGUCCUGCAGCCUAAACUCUGAUAGCUGCUUACUCCAAGAGAAUGGCUCCAAGAGUCCAGACCAUUGCGAGGAGCCCAUGUCCUAUGACUCAGACCUGGGCACAGCAAAUGCUGAGGACUCAGACCAGUCUCUGCAAGAGGUAUUGUUGGAAUUCAGCAAAGCCCAGGUAAACUGUGCCAACCAACGGACUGAGCCAAGAAACGGAGAUCCCCACACCACAGGCCUAACUCUCCCUCCAUGGCCUCAACACCAGCACACACCUGCACUGUGAGGCACCUGCAGAGCCCCUUCCUGCCCAGGCAGCCUCUGGAACUCAAGAUGGUGUCCACGUGCAGGAGCCGCAUCCCCAGGCGCCCAGCCCCCUGGACUUACAGCAGCCUGUAGAGAGCACCUCAGGCCAGCAGCCUUCUAGUACUGUCAGCGAGACAGCCAGAGAAGUGGGCCAAGGGAAUGGCCUGCAGAAGGCCCAGGCUCAUGACGGAGCUGGUCUGAAGCUGGUAGUUUCCUCACCCACCAGUCCGAAAAACAAGAGCUGGAUCUCAGAGGAUGACUUCUACCGGCCUUCCCGGGAGCAACCCCUGAAGAGUGCUUCAGACCACCCAAUAGCUUCUUACAGGGGGACUCCAGAGUCAAGGCCUGGUCUCCACAGGCAUUUUUCUCAAGAACCAAGAAAAAACUGCUCCCUGGGGGCGUUAGACCAAGCGUGUGUACCUUCCCCAGGAAGAAGGCAAGCCCAGGCAGCCCCAUCCCAGGGGCAUAAGAGUUUCCAGGUGGUACACC